AUGCCAUGGCAUGCCAUUUGCACGCUCCAGAGCGCGCUACAGUGCGCCCCCUGCCAACCACCUCCGGCCACCUCAGGCCUCCCAGCGCGCCCGACGAGGUGCCUCGGCGUCUGCGUCACGCUAAACCCCUGUCCCCCUCCUCCUUCUCCCUCCUCUUGCCCCAGCUCGCACACGCGUCGGCCGCCCGAGCGCACCAGUGAGCACGCUCACACGCGCGAUGCCCCUGGCCCUCCUCCUGCUCUCUCUCUUCACCCGCUCGCUAUGGACCAACCCCACGAGCACCCCAGACACGCACAAACAGGCCCCCGUGACCCAUGGCGACGGCAACGAGCUCGCCGACGCACGAGUCCACGGUGGACCAUCGCGCGGCUAUAUAAAGCCUCCCCGUGCCGUUCUUCCCUCACCACUCACUCUCUGCACCACCCAAUACACCCCCUACAUCCCCAGUUCGUCUCCGGAGAGCUCGAGCUCCGCCGCUUCAGCUCGUCGGAGUUCGCGAGGUACAGGCCUCCACUGCCCCCGUUUGGCCUUGAUCUGAAACCGCCGCGGUCCACUGACCCUUUCCCCUCUUCUUCCCACUUCGUUUGCAGCCGGAAACGGCCGGAGCCGUCGACGCCCGAGGCUCCUCCGCCGCGUGAUCUCGUCGCCGGCAAACCAGGCCACCCCAACGACCCCCUUCAGCUCCACCAGGUCGGCGACUCGACGCUGAGCACGCCGGUGCCAUCCAUUUGCCCUGCCAUGCCGUGCAGCGACGCCGGUGAGCUCGCCUCCCUCUCUGGCCCAAGGUUGACGACGACGGCCGUGGGGCCCGUCGGUCAGCCUCACACUCUGACGGGUGGGCCCCACCAGUCAGGUUUAAAACGCACGCGCGCGCGUACCAGUUCGCUGCGUCGGCUGAAGGCGUAUUCGCCUUUACGCCUUCGACGUGGCGGCCUCGCGCGGGCUGAAUUCCCUCUGGGCCCGCUGCGCUACGGUUGUUCUGGCCCAGCAGGCACAGUGCCCCUUCUCCUUUUUCUUUUUUGUUAA
rnacentral:rRNA from 1 species